GCAAAAAUUACGGGGUAAGUUAUGAAAAUAUGCAUAGUAUUUUAUUUUUUUGAGUUUUUUGAUAAAAAUUAUAGCUUAGUGUGCUAGUGGGUGUUUGCAUACAUCAAAGUAUUAUUGGUAUUUCUAGUAGUAUGAUGAUAUGAUGAUCCUUUCCCAUCUAGAGCAACUCAAGUGAUUUCAGAAUUACCAAAAAGAAUUGAGAGCCAUGAACAUGAAAUGGAAGCUGUGAGAGACAAAGAGAGAAAGUGGAUGUACAUU
rnacentral:misc_RNA from 1 species